rnacentral:pre_miRNA from 1 species
AUCAGCCACUACCAACACAAAGGGACAGCUUCUAAAAAUAGAGGUUGUCCCUUUGUGUUGGUAGUGGCUGAUU